CGCCCGUCGCUCCUACCGAUUGGAUGUGCUGGUGAGGUGUUCGGAUUGGAGGCAGCCGGCGGUUCUCCGCUGGCUGGUUUCCGAGAAGUUCAUCAAACCCUCCCAUCUAGAGGAAGGAGAAGUCGUAACAAGGUUUCC
rnacentral:rRNA from 1 species